rnacentral:misc_RNA from 1 species
UAAAAUUUUUCAUAUAUUGAAUUUAUUUUAAUAUAUAAAAUUUAUACAAAAAUGUAUUCAAAACCCACACACUUUAUAACCAUAAAAAAAACGUUAUAUCUUUGUAUAUAAUAUAAAAAAA